UACGGAGGGUGCAAGCGUUAAUCGGAAUUACUGGGCGUAAAGCGUGCGCAGGCGGUUUGUUAAGUCUGUUGUGAAAUCCCCGAGCUCAACUUGGGAAUUGCAAUGGAUACUGGCAGGCUGGAGUAUGGUAGAGGAAGGUGGAAUUCCCGGUGUAGCAGUGAAAUGCGUAGAGAUCGGGAGGAACACCAGUGGCGAAGGCGGCUCACUGGCUCGAUACUGACGCUGAGGUGCGAAAGCGUGGGGAGCAAACAGG
rnacentral:rRNA from 1 species